rnacentral:lncRNA from 1 species
AAGAAUAAAUUAUCUAAACUCACAUAACAUAUGGCCAAUAAUUAUGGAAGCAAUCAAAUCAUAUAAAUCAAACAAUUGUCCAACCGAAACUUUAUAUUGAAUUUAUGAAAUAAAGGAGAUUAAAUAAUCAAAGGUUCAUCGAUUUCCUAAUGAAUAAAAACCCUAGCCUAUGAUCAUAAUUACAGAAUCAAGAAUUAAAACGAAAUUAAAAGAUAUAAAGAAUACACCCGUAUGAUAAUCCUUCAAUUUUGUGUGUAAUCUUCAAUUCCUUCUUGAAUCUUUGUGAAAUCAAGCCCAAGAUUGUGUUUCUUGCCUUCAAAUUGAGUGUAUUUUUUCUCCCUGGUCGUUCCUGCCCUCAAUUUUAUGAUUUUAGGUAUUUAUAUCGCGUAAAAAUCAAGUAGGAAAAGAGUUUCAACGAAAACAAAAAACUGCAACGGAGGCCCCCGAAUUAUCACUAUGCGACCGCAUAGAAGGAUUCUAUGCGGUCGCAUAGACCAAUAAAUUUUCCCCCAAAAUUUCCUGCAACCAUCUAUGCGACCACAUAGAUGGUUACACUAUGCGGUCGCAUAGAUAUAACCAACUAUGUAGUCCUUACAUUUUGGUCCCUGAACUUUCCUUGUUGCUUCUCUUGACUUCUUUCUUCGAUUUCUUCAUCUUUUCAACAAAUGUUAUCCUCCAAUUGAUGAUUGACACCAUCGAAUCUCUUGCCACUCAUUCGGCUCAUCUUUUGAGUAUUUGCGCUUUAGUCCUCCAACUUUUAAUUGUCUUCAUUUCAGUCCCUCUUCGAUUCUUUCUUCCUCCACUUGUUUUGCUUUAUCCUUGAGCUCAUACUCAGCAUGUUUUUACCCUCGUUUUGCAUUUAGCUCAACUUCUCAAUAUUUGCACCUUUGGUCCUCGAACUAUCACUUUGUUGAGUUUUGGUCCUUCUUCGGCUCUUUUCUCUUGAAUUCCACAAUUUCCAUUGAAAUACCUACAUUACAUGAAUUUAAUAAGAUUAAGCCAUAAUUCAACCAUUUUAUCCAUGUUUAAGUCAUGUUUGUGAAUCAAAUAAGUGUGUAAAAACAUACUUAUCAAAUCCCCCAAACUUAAACUAUUGUUUUUCCUCAAACAAUGUGUUCCUCAAACAAUGCAGUGACUCAGAGUUAAACUAACAUGGCUUAAUAGCUUGCCGUGUCUCAGGAUUGAACUCAGCAAUACACGAGAACAAUAUCAAUAUUGCAAGAAUAAAAUUAACCUUUACUCGUCAGUUGCAAUACUCAACGUGUGUGUGUGAACUCAUGCCAAGCGCCGAUGAUUCCAGCCUUCUGUAGCAAGAGAAUCAGUAACCUGGUUGCCUUCUCUGUUGAUGUGUGAAACCGUGUCUCUAUCGAAGUAGAUGAGGUCUCUGAUCUGUCUAAGAAUACCCUGAAUCGACCAUGGUCCUCCACCUUUGGUAAUGCAGUGAAUAGCCAAUGUUGAAUCUGCCUCGAGCCAGAUAGCUGAAAUCCCAAGUCCUCUGGCCAAUAGAAGCCCAUCUAGUAUGGCUCUGAGUUCAGCCUCCAAAAUGAAACAUGGGCCAUACGAUGCUGAGAAUGCCCUGAUACAGUAUCCUGUGUGGUCCCUAAUGAUGCCUCCACCACUUGCAAAUCCAUCUUUGACGCAUCGUAUGUGUGUGUGUGAACUCAUGCCAACAUAUCAAGCUUAUGAAUGGUUUAUUCCCGACCCAUAGUGGUCAAAUUUAUCCUUGCAUCACUCGAGAGAUACACAACCCCCCAAACUUAUUCUUUUCACUCUAUUAUCUCGGGGUAUGUUCUAAGAUUGGGAGUUUAACAACUAUAAUCCUUACCCUCUCUUAGUUUGGAUAUAUUUUACCCUUACAAGUACACAUAUCAACAAGUAGAGACUCUCUUUAAUUUGAUUGUUUCAACCUUUAGGCUCAAACUAAGCUACUUACCUCGCAUCAAGGUUAAAGUUAUAUCAACCAAAUGUCCAACAAGGGCCCUUUUUUUUCUCAUCUUCUCAUUUGCUUUCUAUAUAACCCGUGUAACGAGUUUUAGGCGAUGACUCCUAAACCAGUUGGUCUUAGGGCACCAGGUUUUAAACCCUUGUAGCCUUAUUCACCCGAGUUAUAAAGGCUCGAUAAGAUGAAUUUUUGUCAACUUCUCCUUUUUCUUGCUUUCUAUAUGACCCCUGUAACGAGCUUUAGGCCGAUAAUUCCCAAACCAGUUGGCUUUAGGAUAUCAGGUUUUAAACCCUAACAGACUUGCUCGAGUCAUAAAGGCUUUUGAGAGAAGUGAUGAUUUUCCCAUGUUUAUUUUAUGCCCUUUACUUAUUUUUUCUAGACAUUUGAUCUCAACAACCGUCCUCAACUUAAAGCUUUCACCUAUUUCUCACCUUCUGGGUCUAGGCAAUCCACACAAUAUAAUUUCAUGCACUAAGCCCCUACUUAGCUCCAUGUUUCCCUAUAGUGGCUCAACCAUCUCCAAACUAUCUUAAGGUGGUUUAACGGGUUAAUGUUAUAGAGGGUUAACCUAGGUUUCUCAUAUUUUACUCCAACAAUCCCAAUCAAUAACUUAACAUGAAGACAUGAGUGGCGUGCAAAAGAAUGUCAAGCAUUGCAUCAAUAAGUAUUCGCUAAUUAAAUCCUGUACUAUAUCCACAGUUCUAGUUUACACCUGUCCAAUAAUCACAUCAUAGCCGGCAAGGCUACCAAACCCACACAAGCAUGCAAAAGUAAAAUCAACACUCAUUCAUCACGCAUGCAUCAUGCAGAAUGUAGUCAAAUUAAUGAUUGAUUGUGAAAAUGCAUAUUAAUUACAUGCCGAAUAUUUGUUUGAAAAUUAUGCUACCAUCCCCCAAACUUAUACAGUACAUUGUCCUCAAUGUAAAUGUAAAGUUAGAAAAGCAUAAUUUAAAAAUAUAUUCACAACUUGGCAAAUAGAGGUAAACAACACUCCCCUGAUCAAAGUGGUGGUUGUGGUGUGUAGCUGGGACCCGCCGCAUGAUCUUCAGGAGAAGAUGGAAGGCAAGAUAGGAUUUGUCUCAUCAACUCGGUCUGUUGUGCUUGCUCGGCCUGAAUGGAUUGAAGCCUAUUCUCCAUACUUCCCAAUCGAUCCCAGGUUUCGUUCACUCGCCACUGUAUGCCAUCCAUUCUCUCAGCAUAUAUGUUGAACCUACCAUUCAUGGUCUCCACUUCCCUUUGUGUCGCUGUGGCUUCAUUCAAAGCACCCCUUGUGUAGUCUCGGGAAGAGUAGAGGUCUCUCUGCACUUUGUCAACAGUGGUAGCCAUGGUCUCGAAACUCUGCUGGAGAUGUUGUAUGUCCCGGCUAGUUCUAGUGGUGGUGGCAAAUAUCUGCCUCAAUACCUAAUUGUCCAUAUCAACCUAGGGUGGUGGUGGAGGAAUUUGAGGCAUAUCAAGGUCUGCAUCUGCUUGACCUUCCUCAUUCAAUUGCUGUCGUCGUCGUGCGUUUUCUAAUUUCUGUUGGUGCUUCAGUCUCGCUCGGUCUUGGGCCUCUAGUGUGGAUCGCUUGAUAAAGGCGCUUGGCUUUUUCGGUGCUUCCCCAGGUUGAAUUUGUAUGCUUGCUGUUCGACAUAUUCCACUUAUUAGACUGGGAAAAAUCAGAGAGUAGUGCCUAUCACCCCAAGUGCCUGUACCCUGGAUUUGGUUGUAGAUGUGUGUGGCUAGAUCAAUCUUGUUUCCUCUAACCAAAUGGUAUAUGAAUCUGGCCUUUGGAUUUGUAAAUGUUGUUCUGUGGGAUAUAGGCUCGAUGUUGUGGCACAUGAAUAACCAUAAAAUUGCUAUGGAUGGGGUGAGAUCUAUCUGAUACCAGUCUGCUGUAGGUAGAGGCCAAGCGUUUUCACGUCCCAACAAAAUUUCAGCAACCUCAUUCCAGUUGAAGUCUUCUGGGAUAGGGACGACAUUAUUCCAGGAUAAAUGAUAGUAGUCAUGAAUUACCUCUGGUGAGAACAUAAUCCACUUGCCCCUAACCCAUGUCUGAUGUAAGUGUUCCGAUCUGGGAGUGUCGAUUUCUGUGUUGAAAUUUGCAUAAAACUCCUUUGCUAGAUUCUCAUACACCUGAUGAGGUCUUUCUAUCACCUUUUCCAAGCCACAGUUGUGAAUCAGAUAUGCUAUUUCAAAGUUGGGAAAAUCUUCCAGCUUAACUGGCCUCUCGGGAAUGAUUGCCCAAUCACGCACAACAUUGGCGUAGCAGGCUGCUGUAUCUGAAGAAAGGAAUCUUCUAACACCCCCUUUGGGUUCUCUUGUUCGGGCUGUUCCAGAUGAGGAGCCGACUUUCUCUUUUCCCUUUGAAGUUCUUUUAGGAGGCAUCCUGCAAAAGGAAGUACACAAUAUCAAUCACUUGGUGUAGGAAUAAUGGGCAUUAAUAAUCUUUGAAUUCAUAAUCCCCCAAACUUUCUUCAACAUGCACAUGUACGUGUGCUUAUGCAAUUUUUCAGAACAUGAAUCACCAAUAUAACUCUAACAUUGCAUAAGUAUGGAAAACUCAAAAUUAUGGCUCGAACAUGCAUUUUUAGAAAAUUUGACCCAUGACCAAGUGACCAACUUCGGCCCCGGGCAUCACCGAGAAAUAUCGAAACUUUCCCGGGCAAGUUUUGGACAUGUGAAAGUACUCAAUGACAUCUAGCAUAUAUCCAAAUUUCACCUUAAUCGGAGGUCGUUUGCAUAAGAAAACAUUGAGACGAAGGUAGUGACGUGAGUGAAUAUGAUUAGCCAUGAAGUGCCUUUGUGAAUUCAAAUGUUGAGGUAGCAUUUUUUCAAAUGAAAGUUCAAAUGAUUGUUCAGCCAAUAAGCUACACAAUAACGAUGUAAACUAUCGCAUAAGUGAAAAGUCCAAGAAUUCAAAACAUUCGUCAAUGUGGCAUAUCGUCGAACAUGUGGUGUGAAAUGUGGAUUUCUUCCUAUUUCUUCUAAAACACUACCAUGAAAUUUUCCCCAAUUCUCAACCUCAUAUCUAUCUACCUUAUACCUUCUAACUAAUUCCAACACAUUGAAUGAAAAAUGUGAAAAAGAAGCUCGAAAUUAUGGGAUUAGAGGAACAUACCUUACUUGGCCAAAUACUUGUUAAUUUAGAUGUGGCAUCUCAAUGUAGAAUCCAAUCUAAUUGAAUGAAGAGUGUGUGAAAUGGGUGUAAGUGUGUGGUAUGCAAAUGUGAAGUGUGAAAAUGAGUGCAAGUGAAGAGGAUGGGUGCUCGUGUGGAAGUGAUUUCGUGUGUGAGUGAGAGGGGAGGGAGUGUUGAAUGAGGGGGGAAAUGGGUGUGGUCACGGGUCACGGGUUAAAACCCGUGACCACAGCACUAUGCGACCGCAUAGUGCUGCACUAUGCGGUCGCAUAGUGCAACUAAUUUCCCCCUUUUCUCUUUCGGUUACGAUCUAUGCGGCCGCAUAGACCAAACCGGGUUUAUGAAUUUUUUUUUUAAAACAUGACUUAAAAUUUAAACUUCCCCAAAAUCGGUUUUUCACUUAAAAAUUUAACUCGCCUCGCUAUAUUCCUGGAAAAAUUGAAAAUUUUGACUCGAAAAGAGGAAUAUACUUAUCGAAAACUUGGCACCAAAACCGAUUUUUCAUACAUGUUGUCCCGCAUUCUAAAAACUUAACCAAAAUGAACAUCUUCGCACAUCGGAAUGCAUGACACACACUCGAACACCCAAACACUUCAUUUAGCACCCAUUCAAGUAACAUUAAACGUGUAGUGCCUAGGCUAUCAUGCAAACUAUGAUCGAUGACCUACGAAACAAACUAAACUCAAACAAAUUCCUAAACUAAUGCAGUGCAAUAAAAUAAAUUUAAGGAUACAGUGGGUUGCCUCCCACUCAGCGCUAGGUUAUAGUCAAUAGCUCGACUUUACCGUAUUGUGUUAUUCUGGCGAUCUAAGAUGGACGGUAGACUUGUCCUUUGAGAAAUCACCGCCCCAAUAGUGCUUCAAACGCUGUCCAUUAACUUUGAAUGUCCCCUUGCUGUCGUGAGUGAUCUCAACCGCUCCAUGUGGAAACACUUGUGUAAUGGUAUAUGGACCAGACCAUCUCGAUCUCAAUUUUCCUGGAAACAGUUUAAGCCUAGAGUUGUAGAGUAGCACUUUUUGCCCCACCUUAAAGUCACGCCUCUGGAGAUGCAUGUCAUGCCAUUUCUUGGUGCGCUCUUUGUAGAUCUUUGAGUUCUCGUAGGCUUCCAUUCUGAGCUCAUCCAGUUCAUUCAGUUGUAACAGCCUUUUUUCACCCGCAGCCUUCAAAUCCAAGUUCAACUUCUUCAUUGCCCAGUAGGCGUGAUGUUCGAUCUCAAGAGGUAGGUGGCAUGCUUUCCCAAAAACCAGUCGAUAUGGUGACAUUCCUAUAGGGGUCUUGAAUGCAGUUCUGUAGGCCCACAAGGCAUCAUCCAGUUUCUUUGACCAAUCCUUUCGUGAUGAGUUGACUGUGACUUCGAGUAUUCGCUUCAAUUGCCUAUUGGAUACUUCGACCUGUCCGCUGGUUUGGGGAUGAUAUGCGGUGGCUAUACGGUGCUUAACGCCAUAUUUUGCUAACAACUGCUCAAACUGACGAUUGCAGAAAUGUGUGCCCCCGUCACUGAUUAUGGCUCUUGGUGUUCCAAACCGGGUAAAAAUGUUCUUCUUUAAAAACUCAAUCACUACUUUCCCAUCAUUAGUAGGUAGUGCAACAACCUCGACCCACUUCGAUACAUAAUCCAAAGCCACUAAUAUGUAUUGAUUUGAAAAAGAUGGUGGAAAUGGUCCCAUGAGUCGAUCCCCCAGACGUCGAAUAAUUCCACCUCUAAGAUACUAUUCAAAGGCAUCUCAUUUCUUCUAGAUAUGUUACCCGUGCGCUGACAUCGGUCACACCUUUUCACAAAUUCAAAAGCAUCUUUAAAGAGUAUAGGCCAGUAAAAACCUGAUUGAAGAAUCUUCACAGCUGUUUUCGAAGCACCAAAAUGCCCUGCAUAUAUAGAUGAGUGACAGUUUUCUAAUAUCAAAGGCACCUCUUCCUCUGGUACACAGCGACGAACAAUUUGAUCAGCCCCCCGCCUGUAGAGAAUGGGAUCUUCCAAAAAUAGUACUUCAAUUCAGCGAAGAAUUUCUUCUUCUGGUGACUUGAAUAAUCUGGCGGUAUGAUAGACCUGGCUAAAUAGUUAACUAUAUCUGCAUACCAGGGUGUUUCCAUCACACCAAAAAUCUGUUCGUCUGGGAAGAUUUCGUUUAUUUCCACUGUCUCUAUCCGUUCUGUGUCCUCAAGCCGAGAUAGGUGGUCCGUCACCACGUUUUCACUGCCUUUCUUAUCCUUAAUUUCUAAGUCAAACUCUUGAAGUAGUAAUAUCCAAUGAAUGAGACAUGGCUUAGCAUCCUUCUUUUCCAUUAAGUACCUGAUAGCGGCAUGAUCUGUGUGGACUAUGACCUUCGACCCCACAAGGUAUGAUCAAAAUUUGUCAAAUGUAUAGACUACAGCAAGAAGCUCUUUCUUCGUAGUGGCAUAAUUUAACUGAGCAUCGUUCAAAGUCUUACUUGCAUAGUAGAUCACGUGAAAUACCUUAUUCCUUCGUUGACCCAACACGGCUCCCACANNNNNNNNNNNNNNNNNNNNNNNNNNNNNNNNNNNNNNNNNNNNNNNNNNNNNNNNNNNNNNNNNNNNNNNNNNNNNNNNNNNNNNNNNNNNNNNNNNNNNNNNNNNNNNNNNNNNNNNNNNNNNNNNNNNNNNNNNNNNNNNNNNNNNNNNNNNNNNNNNNNNNNNNNNNNNNNNNNNNNNNNNNNNNNNNNNNNNNNNNNNNNNNNNNNNNNNNNNNNNNNNNNNNNNNNNNNNNNNNNNNNNNNNNNNNNNNNNNNNNNNNNNNNNNNNNNNNNNNNNNNNNNNNNNNNNNNNNNNNNNNNNNNNNNNNNNNNNNNNNNNNNNNNNNNNNNNNNNNNNNNNNNNNNNNNNNNNNNNNNNNNNNNNNNNNNNNNNNNNNNNNNNNNNNNNNNNNNNNNNNNNNNNNNNNNNNNNNNNNNNNNNNNNNNNNNNNNNNNNNNNNNNNNNNNNNNNNNNNNNNNNNNNNNNNNNNNNNNNNNNNNNNNNNNNNNNNNNNNNNNNNNNNNNNNNNNNNNNNNNNNNNNNNNNNNNNNNNNNNNNNNNNNNNNNNNNNNNNNNNNNNNNNNNNNNNNNNNNNNNNNNNNNNNNNNNNNNNNNNNNNNNNNNNNNNNNNNNNNNNNNNNNNNNNNNGCACUGAUCCAUGCACUAUCUGAUAUUGGAUAAAUAAUGCAUGUAUCGAGCAACUUCAAUACCUCAGCUUUAACCACUUCCUUCAUGUGUAGAUUCAAUCUCCGCUGCCCAUCAAUGCUUGGUUUAAAUUUUUCCUCCAUGAGUAUCUUAUACAUGCAUAUAGAUGGGCUGAUCCCCUUUAUAUCUAUAAUCGACCAUCCAAUAGCUGUUUUAUUCUCCCUUAACACCCGAAGUAGUUUCUCUUCCUCUACCUCACUGACAGUGCUUGAAAUAAUAACAGGUAGUGUAGAAGAUUCCCCCAGGUACGCAUAUCGAAGAUGUGGUGGCAGUUGUUUGAGUUCCAAUUUGGGCGGUUUCAUAAUAGAUGGCACUGAUUUUGCAGUCCUAGUUCCCAGCUCUUCAUAGUAGCGUCUGCGCAUAUAUGGCUGGUUACUUUCCAAAAACCGAGCACAUGUCUCAAUCUCACUUGAUUCAGAAUGGGUGGAUUGUGAAUGUGCAAUGCAUGCCUCGUAUGCAUCGGAAGGAUGAUGUAGCCGAAAUGUGUCUUGAACUAUUCGGUCGACUACAUCGAUCUGGAAAUAACUAUCUGACUCAGUUGGGAAUUUCAUUGCUUUGAACACGUUGAAUGAGAUUUGCUCGUCACCAAGCCUCAAUAUCAGCUGCCCCUUCUGAACAUCUACAAUCGCUCUCCCAGUGGCUAAGAAAGGUCGCCCCAAAAUGAGUGGAACAUCCUUAUCUUCUUCCAUGUCCAAGAUAAGAAAAUCAGCUGGAAAUAUGAACUUCUCCACUUUUACCAGCACGUCUUCAAUGAUUCCUCUUGGAUGUGUAAGGGAUCGAUCUGCUAAUUGCAAUGUCACUGUUGUGGCUUUUGCUUCUCCCAAGCCGAGUUUUCUGAAAACAGAAAGAGGCAUUAGAUUAAUACUUGCACCCAACUCACACAAAGCUUUAUCAAAAUGACAGUCUCCAAUAGUGCAGGGUACAGUAAAACUCCCUGGAUCUUUCAGUUUUGGAGGUAGCUUUCUCUGGAUUCUGGCGCUGCAUUCCUCAGUCAACAUUACUGUAUCGUGUUCUUCUAUCUUCCGCUUGUUGGAGAGGAUAUCCUUCAGGAAUUUUGCAUAGCUCGGCAUCUGGACAAGUGCUUCAGUAAAUGGGAUGUUGAUAUGCAGUUUCUUGAAGACUUCAAGGAACUUACUGUAUUGCUGCUCCAUUUUAUGCUUUCUCAACCUUUGUGGAAACGGAAUAGGAGGCUCAUGAGGGUUAACAGGAUUAGUAUUUUUACCCUGUGAUGUCUUGGAAUUUUUCUUAACCUCAUCUCCCAUUGUAUUGUCAUUUUGCUCUACAAUUUCUUCCUCCAAGGUUGGCGUUGAUUCCUUGCUGGCUCCCGAACUUUUUACAUGUGGUUCUGGCAGUUGUACUCGACUUCUGGUUGUUAUAGCCUUCGCAUGUUCCUUAGGGUUAAUUUCAGUAUUGCUGGGUAGGGUUCCCGGUGCUCUACCAGUCAUGGAAUUUGCCAUCUGUCCCACUUGUGUCUCCAAGUUCUUGAUUGCUGCACUUUGAUCUUGAAGAGUUGUUUCCGUCCUUCGCAUAAAUUGGUUAUUGGCUUCCAUGUACUGAUUGGUUUGUGCCAUAAAUUUCUCAAACAUAUCCUCCAAUGGUGGCUUUUUGUCUUGCUGUUGAUAUUGCCCUUGUGGUCUGUUUUGAUUCUGAUUAGCCCACGAGAAAUUUGGGUGUUUUCUCCAGCCUGGAUUGAAUGUUUUUGAAUGUGGGUUAUUCUGCUGGCGUUGACCACAUUGUGCGAAUUCUGCAUGUUCUACUCCUUGUGCUAGAAUUGGGCAACUAGUAGUACUGUGAGCUGCUCCACAUUCUUCACAACUCUGCUUCAUAACUUGCUUAGCAGUGGCGGUUUGUGAAAUGCUUUCAACCUUAUAGAAUAAGGAAUCUAUUUUCGCCCACAGUGCUGAGUAAGUAUCUACUUCAUACACCCCAGGUGCUCUCUUCUGAACUACUCGAUCUGUAGACCACAUAGCUAAAGUUGUAGCCAUCCUCUCAAACAGCUCCCAGGCUCCAUCAAUUGUUCUUGUAGAGAUAGACCCAUCAGAUGAUGCAUCCACCAUACUCUUGAAUGAUGGGAGUAAUCCAGUGUAGAAAAAUCUGAUUUGGAUCUUCUUGUCAAAGCCAUGUUGCGGGCACUUCCUUAACAUGUUCUUGAAACGGUUCCAUGCCUCUUCAAAUGAUUCUGACUCGAUCUGGUUGAAGAUUGAGAUGUCAUGCCGCAUUUUAGCUACUUUAGCUGGCGAGAAGAACUUGGUGCAGAAUUUAUGAGCUAGCUCGUUCCAAGUAGUGAUGCUUCCGACAAGGAGUGAAUCCAGCCAUUCAAGUACUUUAUCCCUCAAGGUGUGCGGGAACAAGCGCAGUCUUAUAGCAUCAUCGGAGAUACCUUGGUAUCUGAAGUGUUGACACAUAUCAAGAAAUUGAGAUAUGUGUGUAUGCGGAUUCUCACUAGCCAUCCCAUGGUAUUGAUGCCCAUUCUGAAACAGUUGAAUCACGUUUGUCUUCAAUUGGAAGUUCGGUUGCCCAAAUGGAGAAUAUACAAUACUAGAUUGACUUUGCACCACCAAUGGUGCCAUGAAAUCCCCAAGUACCGUAUUUCCAUCCUCUUCCACUGCCACACCUUCGUUGAGUGGAAUUCCCGAUCGAUUUUGCUCGUUAGCCAUUUGUUGUACCACUCUUGCUUCCCUUUGCCCGUGACGGAAUGUGCGUUCGAUCUCUGGAUCUAUAGGGACCAAGUCUUGAUCAGGUGCUCCUUGCAUAGAAGCCCUGAUAUGGCAGAAUUAACACAAAAAUUCAAUAUAAACAAUAAUAAAAUAAAUCUAAUAAAAUUAACAAGUACUAAACUAAAUAAGUUCGAAUUAGUGUCGCAAAAGAUAGAAUUAAAACUAAAAUUCAAUCCCCGGCAACGAUGCCAAAAACUUGUUCACAAAAUAUUUCUUUCAAUUUUAAAACCCACCGCAAGUGUACGGUCCGUUAACAAGUAAUAAAAUGGACUAUGAGUCUAAGUAUCAUUCCCACGAGGAUUGAAUUAGCUCUAAUUAGACUAAUGUGACCUUAACCGAAUCUAAUUGAAUGAAAAUUUGGUUUAAAUGUGAAAAUCCCUAAUUUUGGGAGAAAUCCCCAAUUUGAAACCCUAAUUUUUAAAGAAAACCCUAAUUUCGAAAUUGGAAGCCCUAAUUUCGAAAUUUCACUAAUUGAAUGACUCAAAAACUCAAUUAAAAUGUAAAUAUGCAAUUUUGGAAGUUAAUGUAUAGAAAUAAAUUAAAAUACAAUCAUUAGGAUCUCGAAUCCCCAAUUGACUAUUAAAAACCCUAAUUUCACAAAUUCAACGAAUCGAUGGAAAAAUGCCAAUUCAAUGUUCUUAAACCUAUCCAAUAUACUCUCUCAAUAUAUAUUGAAUCUACUCUUGCACACCACCAGCCUAUAUUUCUAUGGAUGAUGCAAAUAUACAAGAAUGCAUGAAUUUUUAUGAACACCUUAUGAAUUGCACAAAGCAUAGGGGUAUAUUUCUAUCUCCUAUCGAACCCUAUGUUAAUUUAUAUUAUAUCGAAUCUAUUCCCCUUCUUUGGAAUGCAAAGAAUAAAUCAACUAAACUCACAUAACAUAUGGCCAAUAAUUAUGGAAGCAAUCAAAUCAUAUAAAUCAAACAAUUGUCCAACCGAAACUUUAUAUUGAAUUUAUGAAAUAAAGGAGAUUAAAUAAUCAAAGGUUCAUCGAUUUCCUAAUGAAUAAAAACCCUAGCCUAUGAUCAUAAUUAUAGAAUCAAGAAUUAAAACGAAAUUAAAAGAUAUAAAGAAUACACCCGUAUGAUAAUCCUUCAAUUUUGUGUGUAAUCUUCAAUUCCUUCUUGAAUCCUUGUGAAAUCAAGCUCAAGAUUGUGUUUGUUGCCUUCAAAUUGAGUGUAUUUUUUCUCCCUGGUCGUUCCUGCCCUCAAUUUUAUGAUUUUGGGUAUUUAUAUCGCGUAAAAAUCAAGUAGGAAAAGAGUUUCAACGAAAACAAAAAACUGCAACGGAGGCCCCCGAAUUAUCACUAUGCGACCGCAUAGAAGGAUUCUAUGCGGUCGCAUAGACCAAUAAAUUUUCCCCCAAAAUUUCCUGCAACCAUCUAUGCGACCGCAUAGAUGGUUACACUAUGCGGUCGCAUAGAUAUAACCAACUAUUUAGUCCUUACAUUUUGGUCCCUGAACUUUCCUUGUUGCUUCUCUUGACUUCUUUCUUCGAUUUCUUCAUCUUUUCAACAAAUGUUAUCCUCCAAUUGAUGAUUGACACCAUCGAAUCUCUUGUCACUCAUUCGGCUCAUCUUUUGAGUAUUUGCGCUUUAGUCCUCCAACUUUUAACUGUCUUCAUUUCAGUCCCUCUUCGAUUCUUUCUUCCUCCACUUGUUUAGCUUUGUCCUUGAGCUCAUACUCGGCAUGUUUUUACCCUCGUUUUGCAUUUAGCUCAACUUCUCAAUAUUUUCACCUUUGGUCCUCGAACUAUCACUUUGUUGAGUUUUGGUCCUUCUUCGGCUCUUUUCUCCUGAAUUCCACAAUUUCUAUUGAAAUACCUACAUUGCAUGAAUUUAAUAAGAUUAAGCCACAAUUCAACCAUUUUAUCCAUGUUUAAGUCAUGUUUGU